AUAUCAAUCAGUGGGAAGCGAGUUUUGACAUCUGUUGUAGCAGUACCCAUCUCUCUCCCCGGUCUGCAGAGUCUCGAAUAAUGGCCUCCUCAGCGACUGGGACUCGGAACGUCGUCGCGGUGCCGUACCCGGGCCGCGGCCACAUCAACCCCAUGCUCGCCGUGUGCCGCCUGCUCGUCGCCGCGGACGGCGCCCUCACCGUCACCGUCGUCGUCACCGAGGAGUGGCACGCGCUGCUGGCCUCCGCGCCCACGCUGCCGGACCGCCUGCGCUUCGCCACCAUCCCCAACGACGUCAUCCCCCCCGAGCGCAGCCGUGGGGUCGACCACGCCGCCUUCUUCGAGGCAGUCAGCGUCAAGAUGGCGGAGGCCGUCGGGCAGCUGCUCGGCCGGCUAGUGCUGGAGCUACAGCCGAGGCCGGAGGGCAUCGUGGUCGACACCUACCUGACAUGGGGGGUUGCGGUGGGCACGCGGUGCCGGAUACCGGUGUGCUCGCUGUGGACCCAGCCGGCCACCUUCUUCUUGGCGCUCUACCACCUAGACCUGUGGUCGUCGGGUGAUGAACAUGAGCGCGAUGAAGAAUUAAGCACCAAGUCCAUGGAUCAGUAUGUGUCGUGCCUCUCAUCAGUAAGAAUGUCUGAUCUCAUGGUCUUCAGCCGAUGGAAGCGGCACAUGAAGAUAACAGCGGAGGCGUUCGUGAAAGUACGUAAAGCGCAGUGUCUCCUCCUCACCUCCUUCCACGAGCUUGAACCCCGUGCCAUCAACACAACAGCAGAGCUACUUCCGUUCCCCGUAUAUCCAAUCGGCCCUGUACACAUGCAGCCGGACGGGAACACGGGCAGGAUCCAGGACGAGGAGCACCGUGACUGGCUCGACGCGCAGCCAGAGAAGUCGGUGAUGUACGUCUCGUUCGGCAGCUACGCUUCCAUGCCGCACUCGCAGUUCCAAGAGAUCGCCAUGGGGCUGCUUGACGCUGGAGUCAAGUUCUUCUGGAUGGCACGGGACAAGGCCCCUGAGCUGCGGGAGAAGUGUGGCGACAAGGGGCUGGCGGUGCCGUGGUGUGACCAGCAGGAGGUGCUGCGCCACCCCUCCGUCGGCGGCUUCCUCAGCCACUGCGGGUGGAACUCGGUGCUCGAGGCCGUGUGCGCCGGAGUGCCGGUGAUUGGCUUCCCCGUCGCGUGGGAUCAGCUGGUGAACGCCCGGAUGGUCGCCGACGAAUGGAAGGUCGGCAUCGACCUGAGGGAGCAGAGGGGGGAGGAUGGGUCUGUGAGCAGGGCCGCCAUCUCGGAUGCCGCGAGGAAGCUGAUGGAUUCGGAUUCUGCUGUUGGCCAAGAGAUGAGGAAAAGAGCCGCACAGCUGCGCGAGGUUUCCCGUAGCGCGGUCCGGGAAGGCGGCUCGUCGCAUCGUUCGUUCAGCGGUUUCCUCGAGGAUCUCGCCGAGGGAAGGUUGGAGGUGGCUGAAAGUUCUCAUUGACUGAUGGCACUUCAUUUAGUCCACUGCGCUGGAUGGGUGUCGCGAGCGCACGUGGGAGAGCCGUCCGAUGCGCCCGAUAGCUCCGACUGCGCGGGAUCCAGCCCGACCAGGUGCCAUUAUGAGAAUAGGCGUGACGUGUGGUGUGUGGUGGGCCCGGGCUGCAUUAAUUCAGGUGAAACCGCCCACACCGACCGCUCCUCUUGUUCGAAACUGCCCCAUCGCCCUCGUCCCCUUUUCAUUCGAACUUCUCCCUCUCCUCCCUCUCAUCUAGCAACGACGCACGGCGCGAGGUUCUGCGGUUGUGGAUCCCGCACGGAGUCGCCGGUGUGGGAGGCCGUGAGCACGGCGAGUCGCCGGCUACAGGCGGAGAAUGGCUCUGAAAAGCAAAAGGGCCGCGGGAAGAACUGUUGGUGAAAAUGAGGGAGAAGAGGUGGUGGCUCAAACAACAAGGAGCAAUGUUGGACGCAAGCAUGGGCAGACAGAUGAGGGUCCUGUCUGGGGUGGUCGGGCAGGGAAACGGGCCACCAAUUCCGCCCCUCGUGAUGAAGGAGGGAGGCAUCCGAAACGUGCGAAGAAAGUCAAGCACAUGGUAUUUUUUUAUGAAAAACUUGAAAGAAGGGUGGCAUCUGAUUCUUUCUUUUUGAAAUAUGUAAUGCUCAAUCAGCAUAUCAUUUGUAUGCACUCCUAUCUUUGAUAAGCAGCAGAAUAGCAGUAUAGCAGUUGCCUAGUUUUGUACUAGCAGUUGCAGUUCGAUAUAGUUCUAGUUGCUCA